AUGAAAACUGUUUCUGUAUCAUCAAAAGAAGAUGCAUCUAUGACAGAAACCGGCAACGAUGACACGGAACCUCUACAGCAACCAGAGGUCAUGAUUUAUGACAUCCCCUCGUCAAUGUUUCCAAGCAUCAAAGAAGCAGAUGCCACAACAGAAACAACCUACAACGACAAUCACAGCAAGGUGGCUUUGUGGCCAGACAUCCCCUCUUCAAUGUGUUCAACAAUCAAAGAAGUAAAUGCACGAAUACAAUCAUUCUAUAACGAUGAUCACGGUAAGGCUAUCAAUAUCAUAUUUACUUUUAUGCAAUAG
rnacentral:rRNA from 1 species